CACAAUAGCAGACAUAAUAACAAUGAAAAAUUUUGAAAUAUUGCGAGAGUACCAAAAUGUGACACAGAGACACAAAGCGAGCCAAUGUUGAAAUACAGGCAGUAUCUGCUAAGCGGUAUAAAACAAUCUAUACCUGUACCUCUAGAAAGUAAGGAAGAGCAAAUGUUUGGGGCAGCUGGGAUUAAAUGAGGCCGAGCUCACACAAGUGAUGUGAAAUUGCCUCGGGCUAGGCGGUCUGUGUGUCACCCCGGGUGGCAACUGGCAUGUCCCCAGGGCACGGUUAGUCCCAGCGGGCCUGGAGGCGAAGACCGCGUACCUCUCCCUGCCCCCGCGCUCUUGGCCCCCGCCGGCUCCGGAGCGACUGGGAGGAGCUUUAACUCUGGGAAGGACCAGCCCAAUCCACGGGAGCCCGGGCGGCGCGCAAUCAGAACCAACUGGCCCCACGCUCGGGGGCAGGGGGCGGGGCCGCCGAGGAAGGGCCGAGGGCGGGGCCGGGCCCGGGAGCCUGUGGCUUCAAGAAGCGGAGGUUGGGGAGUCUGGCUGCGCGCUUGGCUGCAAUGAGCUCGGCCUCGGGGCUCCGCAGGGGGCACCCGGCAGGUGGGGAAGAAAACAUGACAGAAACAGAUGCCUUCUAUAAAAGAGAAAUGUUUGAUCCGGCAGAAAAGUACAAAAUGGACCACAGGAGGCGAGGAAUUGCUUUAAUCUUCAAUCAUGAGAGGUUCUUUUGGCACUUAACACUGCCAGAAAGGCGGGGCACCUGUGCAGAUAGAGACAAUCUUACCCGCAGGUAGUAGAUUUAUC
rnacentral:lncRNA from 1 species